AACGAACGCUGGCGGCAGGCUUAACACAUGCAAGUCGAACGCAUCCUUCGGGGUGAGUGGCAGACGGGUGAGUAACGCGUGGGAACGUGCCCUUCAGUUCGGGCUAACCCAGGGAAACUUGGGCUAAUACCGGAUACGUGCGAGAGCAGAAAGAUUUAUCGCUGAAGGAUCGGCCCGCGUCUGAUUAGCUAGUUGGUGAGGUAAUGGCUCACCAAGGCGACGAUCAGUAGCUGGUCUGAGAGGAGGAUCAGCCACAUUGGGACUGAGACACGGACCAAACUCCUACGGGAGGCAGCAGUGGGGAAUAUUGGACAAUGGGCGCAAGCCUGAUCCAGCCAUGCCGCGUGAGUGAUGAAGGCCUUAGGGUUGUAAAGCUCUUUCGUCCGGGACGAUAAUGACGUUACCGGAAGAAGAAGCCCCGGCUAACUUCGUGCCAGCAGCCGCCGUAAAAC
rnacentral:rRNA from 1 species